rnacentral:rRNA from 1 species
GUUAAGCGACUAAGCGUACACGGUGGAUGCCCUGGCAGUCAGAGGCGAUGAAGGACGUGCUAAUCUGCGAUAAGCGUCGGUAAGGUGAUAUGAACCGUUAUAACCGGCGAUUUCCGAAUGGGGAAACCCAGUGUGUUUCGACACACUAUCAUUAACUGAAUCCAUAGGUUAAUGAGGCGAACCGGGGGAACUGAAACAUCUAAGUACCCCGAGGAAAAGAAAUCAACCGAGAUUCCCCCAGUAGCGGCGAGCGAACGGGGAGCAGCCCAGAGCCUGAAUCAGUGUGUGUGUUAGUGGAAGCGUCUGGAAAGGCGCGCGAUACAGGGUGACAGCCCCGUACACAAAAAUGCACAUGCUGUGAGCUCGAUGAGUAGGGCGGGACACGUGGUAUCCUGUCUGAAUAUGGGGGGACCAUCCUCCAAGGCUAAAUACUCCUGACUGACCGAUAGUGAACCAGUACCGUGAGGGAAAGGCGAAAAGAACCCCGGCGAGGGGAGUGAAAAAGAACCUGAAACCGUGUACGUACAAGCAGUGGGAGCCUCUUUUAUGGGGUGACUGCGUACCUUUUGUAUAAUGGGUCAGCGACUUAUAUUCUGUAGCAAGGUUAACCGAAUAGGGGAGCCGAAGGGAAACCGAGUCUUAACUGGGCGUUAAGUUGCAGGGUAUAGACCCGAAACCCGGUGAUCUAGCCAUGGGCAGGUUGAAGGUUGGGUAACACUAACUGGAGGACCGAACCGACUAAUGUUGAAAAAUUAGCGGAUGACUUGUGGCUGGGGGUGAAAGGCCAAUCAAACCGGGAGAUAGCUGGUUCUCCCCGAAAGCUAUUUAGGUAGCGCCUCGUGAAUUCAUCUCCGGGGGUAGAGCACUGUUUCGGCAAGGGGGUCAUCCCGACUUACCAACCCGAUGCAAACUGCGAAUACCGGAGAAUGUUAUCACGGGAGACACACGGCGGGUGCUAACGUCCGUCGUGAAGAGGGAAACAACCCAGACCGCCAGCUAAGGUCCCAAAGUCAUGGUUAAGUGGGAAACGAUGUGGGAAGGCCCAGACAGCCAGGAUGUUGGCUUAGAAGCAGCCAUCAUUUAAAGAAAGCGUAAUAGCUCACUGGUCGAGUCGGCCUGCGCGGAAGAUGUAACGGGGCUAAACCAUGCACCGAAGCUGCGGCAGCGACGCUGAUGCGUUGUUGGGUAGGGGAGCGUUCUGUAAGCCUGUGAAGGUGUGCUGUGAGGCAUGCUGGAGGUAUCAGAAGUGCGAAUGCUGACAUAAGUAACGAUAAAGCGGGUGAAAAGCCCGCUCGCCGGAAGACCAAGGGUUCCUGUCCAACGUUAAUCGGGGCAGGGUGAGUCGACCCCUAAGGCGAGGCCGAAAGGCGUAGUCGAUGGGAAACAGGUUAAUAUUCCUGUACUUGGUGUUACUGCGAAGGGGGGACGGAGAAGGCUAUGUUGGCCGGGCGACGGUUGUCCCGGUUUAAGCGUGUAGGCUGGUUUUCCAGGCAAAUCCGGAAAAUCAAGGCUGAGGCGUGAUGACGAGGCACUACGGUGCUGAAGCAACAAAUGCCCUGCUUCCAGGAAAAGCCUCUAAGCAUCAGGUAACAUCAAAUCGUACCCCAAACCGACACAGGUGGUCAGGUAGAGAAUACCAAGGCGCUUGAGAGAACUCGGGUGAAGGAACUAGGCAAAAUGGUGCCGUAACUUCGGGAGAAGGCACGCUGAUAUGUAGGUGAAGUCCCUUGCGGAUGGAGCUGAAAUCAGUCGAAGAUACCAGCUGGCUGCAACUGUUUAUUAAAAACACAGCACUGUGCAAACACGAAAGUGGACGUAUACGGUGUGACGCCUGCCCGGUGCCGGAAGGUUAAUUGAUGGGGUCAGCGCAAGCGAAGCUCUUGAUCGAAGCCCCGGUAAACGGCGGCCGUAACUAUAACGGUCCUAAGGUAGCGAAAUUCCUUGUCGGGUAAGUUCCGACCUGCACGAAUGGCGUAAUGAUGGCCAGGCUGUCUCCACCCGAGACUCAGUGAAAUUGAACUCGCUGUGAAGAUGCAGUGUACCCGCGGCAAGACGGAAAGACCCCGUGAACCUUUACUAUAGCUUGACACUGAACAUUGAGCCUUGAUGUGUAGGAUAGGUGGGAGGCUUAGAAGUGUGGACGCCAGUCUGCAUGGAGCCGACCUUGAAAUACCACCCUUUAAUGUUUGAUGUUCUAACGUGGACCCGUAAUCCGGGUUGCGGACAGUGUCUGGUGGGUAGUUUGACUGGGGCGGUCUCCUCCUAAAGAGUAACGGAGGAGCACGAAGGUUGGCUAAUCCUGGUCGGACAUCAGGAGGUUAGUGCAAUGGCAUAAGCCAGCUUGACUGCGAGCGUGACGGCGCGAGCAGGUGCGAAAGCAGGUCAUAGUGAUCCGGUGGUUCUGAAUGGAAGGGCCAUCGCUCAACGGAUAAAAGGUACUCCGGGGAUAACAGGCUGAUACCGCCCAAGAGUUCAUAUCGACGGCGGUGUUUGGCACCUCGAUGUCGGCUCAUCACAUCCUGGGGCUGAAGUAGGUCCCAAGGGUAUGGCUGUUCGCCAUUUAAAGUGGUACGCGAGCUGGGUUUAGAACGUCGUGAGACAGUUCGGUCCCUAUCUGCCGUGGGCGCUGGAGAACUGAGGGGGGCUGCUCCUAGUACGAGAGGACCGGAGUGGACGCAUCACUGGUGUUCGGGUUGUCAUGCCAAUGGCACUGCCCGGUAGCUAAAUGCGGAAGAGAUAAGUGCUGAAAGCAUCUAAGCACGAAACUUGCCCCGAGAUGAGUUCUCCCUGACCCUUUAAGGGUCCUGAAGGAACGUUGAAGACGACGACGUUGAUAGGCCGGGUGUGUAAGCGCAGCGAUGCGUUGAGCUAACCGGUACUAAUGAACCGUGAGGCUUAACCUU